rnacentral:rRNA from 1 species
GAUCAUGGCUCAGGAUGAACGCUAGCUACAGGCUUAACACAUGCAAGUCGAGGGGAAACGAUAUUGGAAGCUUGCUUCCGAUAGGCGUCGACCGGCGCACGGGUGAGUAACGCGUAUCCAACCUGCCCAUCACUUGGGAAUAACCUUGCGAAAGUAAGACUAAUGCCCAAUGACAUUUAUAGAAGGCAUCCGAAAUAGAAUUAAAGUAAUUUAUUCGGUGGAUGGAGUGGGGUAGUGCGU